rnacentral:rRNA from 1 species
GACGAACGCUGGCGGCGUGCCUAAUACAUGCAAGUCGAGCGAAGCGGCGGAUGGGUGAGUAACGCGUGGGUAACCUGCCCUAAAGUCUGGGAUACCAUUUGGAAACAGAUGCCAAUACCGGAUACUUAAGGAUGGACUUGCGUGACAUUAGCUCGUUGGUAAGGUAACGGCUUACCAAGGCGAUGAUGCAUAGCCGAGUUGAGAGACGGAUCGGCCACAUUGGGACUGAGACACGGUCCAAACUCCUACGGGAGGCAGCAGUAGGGAAUAUUCCACAAUGGACGAAAGUCUGAUGGAGCAACGCCGCGUGAGUGAAGAAGGUUUUCGGAUCGUAAAACUCUGUUGUUAGAGAAGCGGUAUCUAACCAGAAAGCCACGGCUAACUACGUGCCAGCAGCCGCGGUAAUAC